GAUCCAUUAGCUCAGUUGGUUAGAGCGUCGCGAUCUGUUUUGCGAAGGACGCGGGUUCAAUCCCCACAUGGAUCA